rnacentral:rRNA from 1 species
GACGAACGCUGGCGGCGUGCUUAACACAUGCAAGUCGAACGGAAAGGCCCUGCUUUUGUGGGGUGCUCGAGUGGCGAACGGGUGAGUAACACGUGAGUAACCUGCCCUUGACUUUGGGAUAACUUCAGGAAACUGGGGCUAAUACCGGAUAGGAGCUCCUGCUGCAUGGUGGGGGUUGGAAAGUUUCGGCGGUUGGGGCUGGACUCGCGGCUUAUCAGCUUGUUGGUGGGGUAGUUGCUUACCAAGGCUUUGACGGGUAGCCGGCCUGGGAGGGUGACCGGCCACCAUGGGACUGAGAUACGGCCCAGACUGCUACGUGAGGCAGCGGUGGGGAGUAUUGCACAAUGGGCGGAAGCCUGAUGCAGCAACCCCGCGUGCGGGAUGACGGCCUUCGGGUUGUAAACCGCUUUCGCCUGUGACGAAGCGUGAGUGACGGUAAUGGGUAAAGAAGCACCGGCUAACUACGUG